CACGUAGGGUGCAAGCGUUGUCCGGAUUCAUUGGGCGUAAAGCGCUUUAAGGCGGUUCGGUCAGUCGGGUGUGAAACCUCCAGGCUCAACCUGGAGACGCCACUCGAUACUGCUGUGACUAGAGUUCGGUAGGGGAUCACGGAAUUCCUGGUGUAGCGGUGAAAUGCGCAGAUAUCAGGAGGAACACCGGUGGCGAAGGCGGUGAUCUGGGCCGACACUGACGCUGUAGAGCGAAAGCGUGGGGAGCGAACAGG
rnacentral:rRNA from 1 species